AAAGACCCCAUGAACCUUUACUAUAGCUUCACAUUGGUAUUGGGUAAAUGAUGUGUAGGAUAGGCGGGAGACUUUGAACCUGUGUCGCCAGGCAUAGGGGAGUCGUUGGUGAAAUACCGCCCUUUAUUUAUCUGAUGCCUAAUCCAGCAAUGGAGACAGUGUGUGGUGGGUAGUUUGACUGGGGUGGUCGCCUCCAAAAGAGUAACGGAGGCUUUCAAAGGUACCCUCAGUACGCUUGGUAACCGUACGCAGAGCGCAAUAGCAUAAGGGUGCUUGACUGUGAGGCCUACAAGCCGAUCAGGGUCGAAAGACGGAUAUAGUGAUCCGGUGGUUCCGCAUGGAAGGGCC
rnacentral:rRNA from 10 species